GAUGAACGCUGGCGGCGUGCCUAAUACAUGCAAGUAGAACGCUGAAGGAAGGAGCUUGCUCUUUCCGGAUGAGUUGCGAACGGGUGAGUAACGCGUAGGUAACCUGCCUGGUAGCGGGGGAUAACUAUUGGAAACGAUAGCUAAUACCGCAUAACAGUAGAUGUUGCAUGACAACUAUUUGAAAGGGGCAAUUGCUCCACUACCAGAUGGACCUGCGUUGUAUUAGCUAGUUGGUGAGGUAACGGCUCACCAAGGCGACGAUACAUAGCCGACCUGAGAGGGUGAUCGGCCACACUGGGACUGAGACACGGCCCAGACUCCUACGGGAGGCAGCAGUAGGGAAUCUUCGGCAAUGGACGGAAGUCUGACCGAGCAACGCCGCGUGAGUGAAGAAGGUUUUCGGAUCGUAAAGCUCGGUUGUAAGAGAAGAACGAGUGUGAGAGUGGAAAGUUCACACUGUGACGGAAUCUUACCAGAAAGGGACGGCUAACUACGUG
rnacentral:rRNA from 1 species